GUGGGCUUCAUCCGUCCUACCUCGCCCAACCCAGUUGACUAAUAUUUGGGUCGGUGGAGCCCGAAUAAUACAAUAAGAAUAAAACCCAACGACAAAGGCCCUCUCUAACCCGAGUACACCGGCCUCUGGCUUUGUGACAAGCACGUCACUGUUAGGCUAAGCAGAGACUUUGGAACCCCGGUUCUAAAGCUCUCAGAGUGGAAGAGUACCAGGACAUGGGGGUGGGGGUUGGGGCAAAGCUUUGCUCCCUUAGAAUAAUACCAACGUACAGAGUUGCGAUUGGUUAAAAAAUACCACUGUGUCCUUUGGUGAACGUGUUAUUCUCCCGACGUAAGUGUGCAUUUCCACCUAAUUAAGCCUCACAAAUUCCACCGUGGCUUUAUUGCUCUCAGCUCUGCAAGACCAUGAGUGAGAAGCUCACUGAGAACAUUGCUUGUCGCGUCCAAAUCGCUGACUCCUAAUUAGACCUGAGACUGACAGAAUCCAGCCAUCAUCUAGUCCAGUAACUUUUUUU
rnacentral:lncRNA from 10 species